CUGCCCUUCAGAGGGGGACAACAGUUGGAAACGACUGCUAAUACCGCAUACGAUCUAACCUCGGCAUCGAGGAAAAGAUGAAAGGUGGCCUCUAUGUAUAAGCUAUCACUGAAGGAGGGGAUUGCGUCUGAUUAGCUAGUUGGAGGGGUAACGGCCCCCAAGGCGAUGAUCAGUAGCCGGUCUGAGAGGAUGAACGGCCACAUUGGGACUGAGACACGGCCCAGACUCCUACGGGAGGCAGCAGUGGGGAAUCUUCCGCAAUGGACGAAAGUCUGACGGAGCAACGCCGCGUGAGUGAUGACCGGCUUCGGGUUGUAAAGCUCUGUUAAUCGGGACGAAAGGCCUUUCUUGCGAAUAGUGAGAAGGAUUGACGUACCGGAAUAGA
rnacentral:rRNA from 1 species